CAGUAGCCGCGGGAAUACGUAGGGUGCGAGCGUUAAUCGGAAUUACUGGGCGUAAAGCGGGCGCAGACGGUUACUUAAGCAGGAUGUGAAGUCCCCGGGCUCAACCUGGGAACUGCAUUUGUGACUGGCGGGCUAGAGUAUGGCAGAGGGGGGUAGAAUUCCACGUGUAGCAGUGAAAUGCGUAGAGAUGUGGAGGAAUACCGAUGGCGAAGGCAGCCCCCUGGGCCAAUACUGACGCUCAUGCACGUAAGCGUGGGGAGCAAACAGGAUUAGAUACCCCGGUAGUCCCUGUCUCUUAUCC
rnacentral:rRNA from 1 species